AUAUUAGAGCUGGCAAUCUUUCUUACUGAAUCUCUACUCUGAGUCAUGUUACCUGAGAUUAAUUCUAUGUUUACCUGUCAGCCUGGACAAAUGUGCUGUGUGAAGGAUGUAAAUCAAAUCAGAUCUUAACUGCUUACAUUUAAGGAGCCUGGUCAUAUUUAAUUGUAAUAUGAACCAAUGAUUUUCUGAUUGCUGAUUCUAAGAGAGUCUUUGUGGAAAUCCUGUUUGGCUUUUUGUCAUUUUAAUUCUCUUUUCUGUUUUCCAGAACAGUUCUCCACAGUCGCUGUGCACAUGGGUCAGUGGGACCAAGAAGCACUCUGCUAAUGUGAGACUCUGACCAGCAACAUCCAGCAAGACCCAGGCAGCGUUUUCUAUCUCCCAGCUGGAGUUUUUUGUUUGUGACGGGAGAGUCAGAUUUUUGUUGAAGCUGGAGGAACAGAGAGGUUAAUACACGCUACUGAUCCCUGAUGGGAGAAUCAUCACCUCUGCUAACAAAGAAGCCUGGUGGAUAUUUGUUUACAGACUGAUGAUGGGACAUCAUGCUCUGCAUCUUCAAAUUCCAAAAUUCAGUUUUUGGGACUUACAUCCGGUUCGGUUCAAGCGCAGAUUAAUA